AUGGUUUUCCAAUCACCACAGAAACAAAGAUCAAGAAUUUGCAUUAUUACUUCACUUGAACACGAAAAAAAUCAGCAUUCAACACAUUGUUUCAAACAUGUUCAAUCAAUUAAACUCAAAAGUAAACAUGAUUUUCAAACCACAAAUGAAACAAGAAGCGAGAAUUCAAAUUACAACAUGAAAAAUCAAGUUUAA